UGAGGAAUAUUGGGCAAUGGGCGAAAGCCUGACCCAGCCACGCCGCGUGUGUGAUGAAGGCCUUCGGGUCGUAAAGCACUGUGGGGAGAGACGAAAAAUUUCCUUCGAAUAGGGCGGAGACUUGACGGUACCUCCUUAGCAAGCACCGGCUAACUCUGUGCCAGCAGCCGCGGUAAUACAGAGGGUGCAAACGUUGCUCGGAUUUACUGGGCGUAAAGCGCGUGUAGGCGGACUCGCAAGUCGGUGUGAAAUCCCUGGGCUCAACCUAGGAACUGCAUCCGAAACUGCUUGUCUUGAGUAAUGGAGAGGGUGGCGGAAUUCCCGGUGUAGAGGUGAAAUUCGUAGAUAUCGGGAGGAACAUCAGUGGCGAAGGCGGCCACCUGGACAUUUACUGACGCUGAGACGCGAAAGCGUGGGGAGCAAACAGGAUUAGAUACCCUGGUAGUCCACGCCGUAAACGAUGAGAACUAGGUGCAGCGGAUAUUGACCUCUGCUGUGCCGUAGCUAACGCGUUAAGUUCUCCGCCUGGGGAGUACGGCCGCAAGGCUAAAACUC
rnacentral:rRNA from 1 species